rnacentral:rRNA from 1 species
GACGAACGCUGGCGGCGUGCCUAAUACAUGCAAGUAGAACGAGUUGCGAACGGGUGAGUAACGCGUAGGUAACUGCCUCACAGUGGGGGAUAAAUCUUGGAAACGCUAGCUAAUACCGCAUACUGUGAGAUGGACCUGCGUUUGAUUAGCUAGUUGGUGCGGUAAAGGCGCACCAAGGCGACGAUACAUAGCCGACCUGAGAGGGUCUUCGGCGACACUGGGACUGAUAGACGCCGCAGACCGCUACGGGAGGCAGCAGGAGGGAGGCUUGGGCAAUGGACGGAAGUCGGACCAAGCAACGCGGCGGGAGGGAAGAAGGGUUGCGGAUCGUAAAGCUCUGUUGUUAUAGAAGCGGUAAGUAACCAGAAAGGGACGGCUAACUACGUGCCAGCCGCCGCGGUAAUAC